ensembl:lncRNA
CUAAAUCAACCGUAAGGCGGAAAUCAUAGUGUGUGACAGAUGUGACAGCUGUUUUAAAUGCAGUGCUUGUGUCGUGCGUGGGUAUCGCCAUCAAAUGGUGUUUUGUUUGAUAGCGUUGGUGUUCAAAUAAAGACACAACUUGCGCAUUUAUUCCAGAUAUGUCAAGGUUUCAUUUUCUUUUUCAAAGUGGUGCAUUUGUACAGAUGUCAAAAUACAUACACCGACAGCGUUUCUCCAUUGCUAUAGAGGAAAAGGGGGGGUUGGUGAGACACAGCGACCUGGUGAGUACAUUGUAGUACAGACCAGUUGGCUGGGAACGUCUCCCUGCAGGCCGGACGGUCCCGAGCAGAUCUGUGCUGAUGUCCAGUUCUCUGCGUCCAUCGCGCGGGACAAAGCGCUUCAGUUCAGUAUUUGGGCGUCACGGGUUAGCAGAGGAACGUCUCGAUGGACCGGAGGCUGGCAUCAGCGCUCAGUGUUCAGAGGGGGGAGUGGGGGAGGGAGGGGGUCAACUUACGGAUAAGCUCUACCCCCCCCUCCCCCCACCCUCGCCCCUCCGUGGCAGGGUCAGAGGUCACGGAAAGUACAGCCUGUCCCCUGUCCAAGUGUCGCCUUGCGCAGAGAGGCAGAACUAAAGACUAAUCCGAGCCUCCUCCAGCAUAACACACAUAAUAUCAUAAUAAUAAUUCAUAGUUAAUUGUCAAUAAUGACAUUUGUUAAUCAUAUCAAAUAAUAUGUAAUACAUUUACAUAUCUUUAUAACAGCCCAUGACGUAACUUGAUUGGGGUGAAACUGUUAAGUGGGCCUCUAUAAUUUUUUUUUUCUUUCUGCCUGAGUUGGUUAUCCAGCGCUAUGGACAUCGACGAAACAUCAUAAAAAAAAAGAAAAAGAAAAAACAAUUUGACAAAAAAUGAAUCCUGAUUGAAUUCUGUUAACUUUAACACACAAACUGCCAAAACACAUCCUGUAUGCAAAAUGAAAGUACAAACAUCAAGAAACAAAGAGCACACAUGCCUUAUUUUUCUGAUCGAAAAAAGUCAAAGCUCACACACCAACAUUCAUUUUAUCUGUGAAAUUGUGCAAGAAGCCAAUUAAAAAAAAAAAGAAGACAUUAGCAGUGUUCCUCAAGUGAGGAAGCUUGUCGUAAAAACUCAACAAUGACACAUUCUGUGAAUAGUUUUAAGUCCCCUGACAUUAUAUUGAGUGCUACAAGGAGACCGAAAACACACAAAAAGCUUCUGCACCAAAAAAAAGAAACGCAGAGGUUUGUGCGCACGAGCCGAGCCGACUCCCUACACAUCCCGCCCCCAAACGUGACCACAACACAACCCAUCUAACCGCACGGCGCGGCGGGGCGCGUGAUGGGAGCGCUUCCAAACAAACCCCAACGCAACAAAAGACGGUGUGCGUCCCGUGACAAAAGGCUUUCCCAGUGGAAAAGGACCAAGGGGCCACCGAUCACCUUCGGGCCCGUCGGACCCAAGAACACGCCGGGCGGCGAGCGAGAUGGAGCGCGGACAGAUGAACGCGAGGUUACGGCGAGGUGAUGAUGUGCAACUCUCUCUUUUUCAUCCUCAUUCAGCCCCUUUUUUCCAUCACCUUCUCUCUGUCCGGUGUAAGUAAACCCCCCCCCGGCCCCUUCUAGGGAAAGUAUCAGCCUGAGACACCAAGCCGGACGCAGGAUUAGAAAGUGCUGAAAUAUCAUCAAGUCUUUUACAUCUACUUACAUGUGCAUCUCUGUUGGGUGGUUGUUUUUUUCCGUUUCUUUUCUUUUUUACAUUUUGUUACGCACAAACACACUCAGACCAGCUCAGGACACAUUUGAACACCGGGGUUGUGCACAAGCACACAUUCCGCAUUGUGCAGACACACACCAGGGAGACACGACACGAUCUCUCACAAACACUCAAAAUUAGGAAGGCCGCCGAGACAAAAGGGGCCGAGAGGUCGGGCUCCGUCUGGUUCGUUUCUCUUCACAAACCCCCCUCGCCUACAGAUGUGAGGCACACACACACACACACACACACACACACACACACACACACACACAUCGACAGACAGCAAAAUACACAAGCCAUUAACGCGGAUGAGACGCUGGAGUAGGACUUUCAAACAUAUACUUGGCACAGCAAAGAGUGGCGCGGGGAACGAAUGGAAGUAUUGCACAUUGCGGUACAUUUCAAGUGGCUGAAGAGGUUCAAUUUGGGGAUUUAUAUUAACAAAAUGAAAACUACAAUAAACCCUCACACAAUGUUGACCCGCUCCACUGGAUCCAGAGUGGCUCUACACUUCAGACCGCUUUGUCUCAGGGUCUAUUACUAAGCAUGCGGAGCAUGGACACCCUGAUCUUUGUGAGCUAGUGGUGAAAGGAGAUGGUUAGGGAUAAGAGUUAGGGGCUAAGGGUUAGGGGUUAAGGGCCGCGCAGGCCGCGCCGAAAGGUAGCUAACGGUUGUUGAGGGUUAAUUGAUUGCGUUGCCUCAGGAGGAGGUGUGAGGCCGGCUGGCUGUGACUGGGUACCUGAAACAGAGGCUCAGAACGUCCGCCGGUUACGUCCUGCGUGACGACAGGCGGCGACGUCGGAGGUUUUGGGGGUCGGAUACUGCAUAUAUGAGACACUUCCCUGAAAAACUAGCAACUGACGUUGCAACUGCACUUCCUAGAGAUUUAAAAUGUACUUUAUGAUGAGGGGAGAGGUACUAAUUGAAGCGAGGUGUGUUCAGGUAUAUUAGCUUUUACGUGCACUUUCUAGUUUAUGGCAUGAUUGUGUUUUCUGUCUACGGGUGUUUGCAAUGAAAAACGAUUACUGUGAUUUAAUUUUAUUGCAGAGAAUGAGUGGAAUGACAUUGUGUGUGUGUGUGUGUGUGUGUGUGUGUGUGUGUGUGUGUUUGUGUGUUCCACUCAUGCGUGAAGAGAGUGCCUGAAUACUGUUGUACUAUUGCUUUCCAAACCAAAUUAAGAUUGGCAUCACUUAGCUUUGGCUAACAACGUUUCCAGCCGGACAGUCGAAGUGUUGAUGGUCUGAGUGGCUUGAAGGAUUAUUCAUAUGUUCUGCUCUUUCGUGAGGAAAGGUUGUUGGACAUAAAAAAAACAGGUAUGUGUGACAUGUAUAUACAUUUACAAACGACACAGCCACUCACGGAUUGCCAAACAUGCACACGCACACAUGCUACUAUUCGUACUAGUAACGAUCAUGAUGUUUCAAUAGGAAAAGGAAGAAAUGAAGAUGUACUACUGCGGUGAUGUUGAUCUGAGAAACCCUGUUUAUUAUAAAAAAAUAAAGCAUUUUCAAAUCUCAUUUGGGGUCUACUCUUCUACUCGCCAUCCAUCGCAUCCAUUCCGCCAUCACACUGCGUAACUCCACCCACAUGAAGCGCUGCCCUGCACAGCUAAACCGGGGUUAUUUUUGUUGGGAUGAGAAUACAACUGCUCUACUUCCUCGAUGCAAAAAGAUCCCGUCUCUGCAGUGAGAACGGGUAGAAAGCUCAACAGAUGCGCCUUAACAGCACCUUCAGACCGGCAACCUGCGCAUGUUAACGGCUUGGUAUGAGAGAUGGCUUAAUGUUCAAUGGCAUUAUGUGAAGAUAUUCCACCCUCCACCAAGUUUAUCAGGUAGAUUUAAAAAAACACAAAAACACCGUCCAAUUUCAUUAUGUUUUGAUCAACUUUUAACAUUUUUAAAGGAAGCAUCUCUGCAGUUCAGUUCCACUGAAGUUAGAAGAUAGAUGAAAUAAAGAGCAACCGCCUUUACAUGCGGUGAAAGGAUCAUGCGUCGGUGCACACCUUGCGUUACGUGUCAAAAAUCAAGCUAAGAAAAGGACAGAAUUUGAGCUUUCAGAUGCAAGAAAGAGACGUUGAGAGUGUUGAACUUCUGACAAACGUCGGGCCGACCAGGCAGGCGUAUCUGUUGAGCUAACUGCUGCAUCUCGGGAAAAAACGGGCUUCCAGAUGAUUUGCGCCAAAACUGGACCCGAGCCGCUGAACCCUGGUUUCAACAGCAGGUAAAGUGGAGGGAAAAAAAAGUUUCCUUCGGAUUCACUACAUGGCAUAUAUUUUAAAUUCAGUAGGCAGGCACGUGUUAAUUAUCCGGUUUUUACAGCUAUGGUAAUGUUUAUAAAAACUCUAAUGAAAUGUGACCGUAACUGCGUUAAUGUAGAAACUUUUCCUCUACAACGUUUCAAGUGCCUGUUGAGGAACAACAACCCUGGUCUCCUCCAGUGUGUCGCGUGGUCUAGGGCUCGUCUUUGUCUCCACCCGUCUCCCUCCUCCCGAUGUGCAAAUUGCAAAGAUUCUAUUAAGUACGACUCAAAGUACAAACCCUGGACAUUUAGCAUCGACUUUAUAUCAAAUGAGUAUAACCUGUUCCUAUACACGGUAUACAUACAAUCAUACACGCUCACACACAAACACGCUGACACAAACUCACCGCCGAGCGCUGUGUGCUGUGAGCGGUGUGUGUGUGUGUGUGUGUUAAUCCGAUGUCAACUAGCGUCUUCAAAUCAUCUGCAAUCGUCUAAAUACAGAACAUAUAAUAGGUCAUUUAGUCAUAUGGAUGGUCUGCAUUGCGUUGUGAUUGUGUGUGUGUGUGUGUGUUUGUGCAGACAGACACAGACCUGCAUCAUGCACACUCCAGCACACACACACACACACACUACAAAUAUAUGACACCUUUCCGGAAUUGAUCCUUUCGUCCGGAUCCCAAAAGUUCAAAAGACAUUCCAAAGCGUUCAACGUACUCAAAGCUCACCGACUGAAAACCGUCAUGCUAUAGUUUCCUCUGAGCGUAACCCAGGAAACAGACGUCCCCGUCCUCCCCGUCCUCCCCGUCGCUGUGAUCCGAUGGCACAUGCGCUCCCACGUUACCAAACCACCCCUUCACUUCUCAAAAAAAAAAGCUUCAUCAUUACAAAGUGCUGCUGCUACCUUCUACCCCUGUCUUUAAAAGAAAAGAAAAGAAAAAAAAAUAAUCUAAAAACAUACAGUACUGCGUAAAUAAAAGCGGCAACAAAAAAGUUGUCGGAUGCAUGGCGAGUGUGACGGGUCUGUUAAGUGCUUUGAAACAUCCCGACCCUCUCAGAGCCGCUUCCUCUCGCGCAGCCUUUCUCCAUAAAGAAAUAUAAAGUAAUCCAUCAGGAAAAACAAUGAGGAUUGUAUGCGGUCUUCCUCUUAACACAUUUCUUAGACAGACGUUCUCCAACCCAGUGUGUUUGCACUUGCAUGUGAUAGAUUAUCUCACAUCUAUACAUCGACAUCGACUCACCCGGGUUCCGUCUAGGACUAAAUGACCCCUGAUUAAGGUUUUUGACAAUCAUUGAAAAUAACUAUCUGGUGAGAUAGAAGACGAAGGGUUCAUGAAAACCCCCCAAAAAACAUUUUUUUAAAUGAAAGCGCUCAAGAUGAAAGCAAAGGCUCCACUGAACAAACACUGAGCAAACGUUGUUCCCUCUACAUUUUUGUGUGGCACACUGGCACCGCCUGAUGACAUCACCGGUCAGGCCCGGCACACUCUGAUGACAGUGUGGUUUAUUUGUUCUCAAGAGACGGAGAAUGGUGUUUUUUUCGUUUUGUUUUUCCUCUCGGGAUUUUGGAGAAUCCUUCAUGCUCUGGAUCGUCGGACGUUGUUACAUCACUCCCGUGGCUCAACGUGUGUAGAAGUGUUUUCCCCUCCCCAGUUGCUUCAGAGAGGUAAACCGUGUGCAUACUCAAUUUGAUAUCUACACUGUGUGUGAUGUAUAGCCGGCCAGAAAAAGAGCCCUCAAGCAUUGCUGCUG